GCCAGGCAUGGUGAUGCAUGCCUGCAAUCCCAGCAACUUGGAGGCUGAGGCAGGAGGAUCCCAAGUUUGAGGUUGUUCUCAGCAACUUAGCAAGACUCUGUCUCCA
rnacentral:sRNA from 1 species